ACGGAGGGUGCAAGCGUUAUCCGGAAUCACUGGGUUUAAAGGGUGCGUAGGCGGAUAGAUAAGUCAGAGGUGAAAGCUCUCAGCUCAACUGGGGAAUUGCCUUUGAUACUGUUUAUCUUGAAUUAUGUUGAGGUUAGCGGAAUGAGUCAUGUAGCGGUGAAAUGCAUAGAUAUGACUUAGAACACCAAUUGCGAAGGCAGCUAGCUAGGCAUAUAUUGACGCUGAGGCACGAAAGCGUGGGGAGCGAACAGG
rnacentral:rRNA from 1 species